rnacentral:rRNA from 1 species
CCUACGGGUGGCAGCAGUGAGGAAUAUUGGUCAAUGGGCGGGAGCCUGAACCAGCCAAGUCGCGUGAGGGAAGACGGUCCUAUGGAUUGUAAACCUCUUUUGGCGGGGAGCAACGGCGGGCACGCGUGCCCGGAGGGAGAGUACCCGCAGAAUAAGCAUCGGCUAACUCCGGGCAAGCAGCCGCGGUAUUACGGGGGAUGCAAGCGUUAUCCGGAUUGAUUGGGUGUAAAGGGUGCGUAGGCGGAUGUUUAAGUCAGUGGUAAAAUUUCCGGGCUAACCCCAAGCCGGCAGUUGAUACUGGCGGUCUUGAGUGGACGAGAGGUAGGCGGAAUGCGUGGUGUAGCGGUGAAAUGCAUAGAUAUCACGCAGAACUCCGAUUGCGAAGGCAGCAUACCGGCGCCCGACUGACGCUGAAGCACGAAAGCGUGGGGAUCGAACAGGAUUAGAUACCCCAGUAGUC